rnacentral:rRNA from 1 species
UGAGGAAUAUUGGGCAAUGCCCGCAAGGGUGACCCAGCAACGCCGCGUGGAGGAUGAAUGUCGUAGGAUUGUAAACUCCUGUUAGAGGGGAAGAAUAGUACCGGUUGGACCGGUAUAUGACUGUACCCUCAGAGAAAGCCCCGGCUAACUACGUGCCAGCAGCCGCGGUAAUACGGAGGGUGCAAGCGUUAAUCGGAAUCACUGGGCGUAAAGCGCGCGUAGGCCGUCUUUUAAGUCGGACGUGAAAGCCCUCGGCUCAACCGGGGAACUGCGUUCGAUACUGGGAGACUUGAGUCCUGGAGAGGGUGGCGGAAUUCCGGGUGUAGGAGUGAAAUCCGUAGAUAUCCGGAGGAACACCGGUGGCGAAGGCGGCCACCUGGACAGGUACUGACGCUGAGGCGCGAAAGCGUGGGGAGCAAACA